GCGGAAGUGGCGGAACAGGCAGACGCGCAGGAUUUAGGUUUCUGUGCCUUCGGGCGUGGGGGUUCAAGUCCCCCCUUCCGCA
rnacentral:tRNA from 1 species